CAAAGAAUAGUUUUAAAUUAAAAAUAUUAAUUUUGGAGAUUAAUGAUAUAAAAUUUUUUAUUUUUUUGA
rnacentral:tRNA from 1 species